rnacentral:RNase_P_RNA from 1 species
AUUUUAAACCGUAGCAGUCGCCCCGCCUUGGCGGGGAGGAAAGUCCGAGCACCACAAAGCAAAGCGGCCGCUAACGGCGUGCCGGCUUGGCAGUAAUGCCGGGCAAGGGAAAGUGCCACAGAGACCAUUCCUUCCUGGGUUCCCCCAGGAUAAGGGUGAAAAGUCCGCGGUAAUGAACGCGGUCCCCGCCGAGCGAUCGGCCGGGGCGGUAAACCCCGCUUGGUGCAAGGUUGCAUGGGAAUCCGGAAUUUUCCGCCGCUUGCGGAACCGGCUUCGCAACCGCUAAGAGCCCGCCUCAGGCGGAUCAGAUAGAUGACUGCCCCCGGGCAACCGGGACAGAACUCGGCUUAUGAGUUUAAAUUAAAC